GGACCUUACAAUUCUCUGUAUGUGUGGGGUACAGAGAUGAGGUAGUCAUUAAAAAAAUAUAUUAUUUCACACACAGUGAGUCCAUGCAACUUAUUUUUACAUGUUAAGCACAUUUUUACUUCUGAAUUUAUUUUGGCUUGCUGCCUAAACUAAGGGGUUGAAUACUUAUUGACUCAAGACAUUGCAGCUUUUGAUUUGUAAUUCAUUUGUAAACAUUUCUGAAAACAUAAUUCCACUUGGACAUUAUGAGAUGUUUUAUGUAGGCCGGUGAGCAUAUUUAAUCCAUUUUCUAAUUCCGGCUGUAACACAAGUGGAGAAAGUCCAGUGGUGCGAGUCCUUUCUGGAGGAGUUGAAUGUUUCGCCUCUAUUCAUGUUAAAGAGCACUAUGCUCCCACACCAGCCCUGAACCUAGUCUACACCCAUACCAGCGUAACAUCCCUAUAGCCCACGAGCCUUGGCACCCAGCCCUCACACCCCCCAUCUACCUACAACACUCGGGACACACAUCCCCGCACAGAGCGCCUGCUGC